rnacentral:sRNA from 1 species
AGUGCUCAGCGGCAGCCACUAUGGAGGCCGCCAGGACCGCUGUGCUGCGGGUGAAGCGGAAGCGCAGUGCGGAGCCGGCCGAGGCUCUUGUGCUGGCUUGUAAACGCCUCCGGAGCGACGCGGUCGAGUUAGCGGCACAGAAGACGUCGGAGGGUUUGGAGAGAGCGGCGGAGAAUAAUGUUUUCCACUUGGUGGCCACUGUGUGCUCCCAGGUAUUGGGCGUGGUGCAGCUGGUGUGGAGGGCAUCUUCGGGUGCAGCCGGUACGAAACCCGAUCCCUGACCCGCUCGCGAACUCUUGCUUACGCUGGCCUCCAUCCCCUGUUGCCCCCUAGGAGGAACCAGUCCAGCCUCUCCUGCGGGAAGUUCUGCGCCCGUCACGGAACAGCCAGCAGCGUGUCCGCCGCAAUCUCCGCGCCUCGGCUCGGGAGAUCCGGCAGGAGGGCCGCUACCGGGUGGUUUCCAGCCGCCGAUCCUUGGGGACUACCUCGAGCUGCCAGGAGUCCGAGUACACGCUGGGGAACCCAGAAGUCGCCGAGGACUCGGGCUUUCAGUUGUUAGACCUUGUCCACGAGGAGGGAGAACCUGAAGCCGCCGCCGCAAGCUCCUGCAAAACAUCUGACCCAGAUGUGAUCCUCUGCAAUUCUGUAGAGUUGAUCCGUGAGCGAUUGACUGUGUCUGAGGAUGGACCAGGAGUCAGGCACCAGGAAGAACAAAAACACGAUGACUAUGUGUAUGACAUUUACUACUUGGAGACGGCCACUCCAGGCUGGAUUGAGAACAUCCUCUCUGUGCAGCCCUACAGUCAAGAAUGGGAGCUGGUGAAUGAUGAUCAAGAACCAGAGGACAUUUACGACGAUGAAGAUGACGAGAACAGUGAGAAUAACUGGCGCAAUGAGUACCCAGAGGAGGAGAGCAGUGAUGGAGAUGAGGAUUCCAGAGGCUCUGCUGACUACGACAGCCUGAGUGAGGAGGAAAGAGGCAGCAGCAGCAGACAGCAGAUGUGGAGCAAGUACCCUCUGGAUGUGCAGAAGGAGUUCGGCUAUGACAGCCCCCACGACCUGGAUUCAGACUGAUGGUCUUGUGAUGUCCAUGAGGUUCUGCCACAUGCCCGUGAGCGCUCUGAGUCCAGAGUUAACUGCCCUGCUGACAUCUCUUAGGUUUCCUAGCUUAACAUGUGGAAGGAAAAGCAUAUCAAGCAUAUCGGGCGGCACCAUCCCACCACAGUGAAAACUUAUGUUAGGGGAGUGAGUCUUUUCCACUUACAGUAGGGCCCCUUUGCCUCAAUCAAAAGUGACCCUACAGUUUGAAAGAAAAAAAAAUGUUGAAAAAAGGAAGGUUUCUUUAGCUUUAGCUUCUUGGCCCAGGAAUUUUUCCUGGCAUUCAGGUUCUGUGCUGAAACCACAAGGGAGGGGGAGGUUCCCAUUUCAUUGGCAGGAAGCUUCUGCUCUGCCAUACCACCAGGCUGCCUGCCUCUAGGAAAACCCUGUUCCUUUUGAUAGACAGAAUCUAAAAGGGGUACCAGUGGGUCCCUUGUAGCAAUACAGACUGGAUAGUAAUGGCCAUUAGGGCAGAAAGUAGUCUGUCUGAGCAGUGGGAGAUUUUAGUUAAGUUAUUUCUGCUUCCAAACUCUGAUAACGGUUGUGAAAUUACUGACUGACUUCCUUUGGCAGUGGGGCCAAGAAACAAUAUAUAUGAAUGUGAUACAUGUGUUUAGUAAAAUCUAGCUUUGAACAUGGAAGAAAGUAAUUCUUUGAAAACCUUUUAAAUCUGAAUAUCUAAAACAGGGAGCGGUAGUGAGAUAGAAGUUUCAGCAUUGAUUAUAAAUAUCAAGGACUUAAGGCAAGGGAGGAAAAACAAAGUACCUUCUGAACUUAGCUUUCCACUGAGUAAUGUUUACUCUUCACAGCACCCACCACAAAAACAAACUACUAUCAACAAGAUCAAUUUUAUUACAACUUGUAUCUCUUCUAAGCAGACUCUGUCCCUAUGCCUUUCCAAACCGUAGCUGCCUUAACUGACUGCCUUGGUGUUUAUUCUAGCAUAACAUUGUCCAGUAGAACUAUCUGCAGUGACGAUAUGUUCUGUGUCUGCGUUAUGUAGUAGUAGACACGGGUGGCUGCUGAGCACUUGAAGUGUGAUUAGCGCAACUGAAAAACUGAGCUUUUAAUUUUAUUUCAUUUUAAUGUAAUUAGCUACACGUGGCUAGUAGCUGUUGUAGUGGACAACACAGGUCUAAGGAAACAACGCAGAACAUUCAGCUAGGGGUGUACCCUCAUAGCCUGUGAGUGUCUCUGACUCACUGUCGUGGGGGAAGGUGAGUUACACAGGGAGAUACCUUCUUGCCACCUCUUUUAGGAUUUCCUAAGUAUCUCUCCUUCAUCCUACCUGCCAUCAUUCUUUGACUUUAUGUCUGUUUUCUAAACCUUUACCUACACUAGCUCUUAUCUACAUGGAGUUGUUCAACCUGCCAAAGUGAUUAAAUUCUGGGUACACAGGCCGUAUAUAUUGCAGCUAAUUAAAACAACAAACAUCCUAGGUAUGCACAAAGGUAUAAUUCACCGUUAUAACAGACAGCAACUUGUAUGUCUAAUGUUAGACAUCUUGCUUUCUGUCUGUAGGCAUAGAAACAAAGGAUUGAAAGCCAUACAGCAACCGGGUGAAAAAAACAAAACACUGUGCUGUUACAGUGUGCUCCCUGCUAUUUAUACUCAUUAAGUUUCCCCAAUAUUAAAGGGCUGACAACUUAAUAAACUGUACUCACUGCAAAAGGGAUAAUAAGCACACCAGGAGAAGGAUUUAAGGAGACAGACAACAAAGAGCUGGCAGAAAUUAAUUCCACCAUGAAGCUUGAGUGCUGUAGGGAUCCUCUGGCUUCGCUCCCAAAGAGGGGAUCCUGGGAGAAAUCUGUAUCCAGCACAGAGGGGAAAAAUGCUGUCACCAUCCAAAAAUGAAAGGAGGAUGACAUGGCUCACUAAGCAAGUACUAGGAUACCUGACAUGUGAGGUCCUUGCUUUCCCUAGAAGCCACUGGUGGGGGCGGGGGGAGGGGAAUGCAGCAAAUUCCUGGGAUUAGCUGGUUACCUGGUGGAGAAAGCUAAAGCUGGGGUCAGGGAUCUUUAAAAGGCAAGCACAUUUUGCUUAAAGGAUUAGCUCCAGAGGAGCCCUGGGAUGGGUGCCAGCUUGGCUCAGACAGAAGCCAUGUUCUUAGCGUUCAGGCAAGUCAGCCUUUGCACGAGACACCCUGUCGUCGGGCAGGAAUUUGCCAUACAAAUCCCAAACCCAUGACAGUAGGAAUGUCACCCCAUGCUUCACAUAUGCAUUAUGCUCUGAACCCAAGGCAACUGUGACCGUGCUUCCUUCAAUCUUUAUUGAGCAAAUACAUGGCCAAGGUUAUUCCCUUAUCUGUGACUGGGUGGAGAAUGGUCAGGAAGGGAGACUGCUCACUGUUGACCAAUUCCAAAACCUAAGGAUAAGAAGCCCAUGGAGUAUGUCAAGCUAGCAGGUUCUUCUCGGCCCAGGAUGGACAGUGUCUGGGGGCAUCACAAAACAGUUGUACAAUCCAGUGCAGCCGUCCUGCUCAUACAGUAAGAUCCAUUAGGCCAGAGCAGGCCUAACUUGGGUGGAGAGCCCAGCCUGAGCACCAGAAUUAGUUGCUUCCACUUGUGCAGCCUGCUGAAGAGCCGGACUCAGGUUGAAGCAGCUUUCCUCCCAGUCUUCACUGAUCUCCACAGGGAGAAAACAGAAGUCCCCACAAGUACCAAGCUCUUCCUGAGACUGCAGCCACCACACCUCGGGGAAGGGGAGGCUGGCAGGAGAGGAGUACACUGUCCCGAUGACCCACACCAAGGCGGCUCCAAGUGUAAACAAAGCCUGGUGCCAGGGACAGAAGAGGAUGCAGCCUGAUGUGAGGUUUUCAGAAAAGUGAAAUGACCUAGCACCAGGGUGGGCUUGCUUGGGUCUGCACAGCAGUCCCUCACACUGCCCUUACAGAGAGGAACAGGUUAUUUGAUGACUUGGGCCCAUGAGAUGUUCUCCAAGCCAUUGACAGCUGAGAGAAUUCAGGUGAUCCACCUGAAUUUCAGAAGUUUCAGCCUUCUUAGAGUUCGUAACAGAAUCUCAGAGAUUUACUGUCGGCUAGAGCAAAGAUGUAAGGUCUCAAGUAAAAUAAAGGAUUAUCCUUCAAAACAGCAAUAUU